rnacentral:rRNA from 1 species
AUUGAACGCUGGCGGCAUGCCUUACACAUACAAGUCGAACGGCAGCACGGGAGCAAUCCUGGUGGCGAGAGGCGAACGGGUGAGUAAAGUAUCGGAACGUGCCCAGUCGUGGGGGAUAACGUAGCGAAAGUUACGCUAAUACCGCAUACGAUCUAUGGAUGAAAGCGGGGGAUCGCAAGACCUCGCGCGAUUGGAGCGGCCGAUAUCAGAUUAGGUAGUUGGUGGGGUAAAGGCUCACCAAGCCGACGAUCUGUAGCUGGUCUGAGAGGACGACCAGCCACACUGGGACUGAGACACGGCCCAGACUCCUACGGGAGGCAGCAGUGGGGAAUUUUGGACAAUGGGCGAAAGCCUGAUCCAGCCAUGCCGCGUGCAGGAUGAAGGCCUUCGGGUUGUAAACUGCUUUUGUACGGAACGAAAAGGUUUGGCCUAAUAAGCUGAGCUCAUGACGGUACCGUAAGAAUAAGCACCGGCUAACUACGUGCCAGCCGCCGCCGUAAUAC